CUUUGUAUUGGAUAAAUUGGAAUAGUAUUACUCAACCUAGGAAAGGGGGAACCCAAGAAGACUGGGAAUUGGUGGGAUCAUUAGAGACUGUAAUGGUAAUUGGUGCUUAGGAUUCUCGGGUUUGUGUGGAGUCAAGGAUCUUGAAUUCCAACAAGUUAGUUUUCUCUAGAAUGGUAGAAUAGAAUUCCUAACAAUAUAACAAGAGAUUUUUAAGUUGAGACAGUGAGAGAGGCACCAUUGUGUGCCGGGGUGAGAUUGAGAAUCAUGGUUGCGGCCUUGAGAGCCCACGCCUGAGGCGGCUGAUAGAGGGAAGCAGACGCGCCGAAGCAGGAGGCGAGCAUGUCGGCGUUGAUCACGCCCGGAUUGAGUGCGAUCACUGCAGUGAUUAGGGUUAGGGUUAGGGUUAGGGUUACCUAUGAUAUCAGGAACGGGAGCAGCCAAUUAUUGUAUGACCUCGAUUGGCGAGUUCGAGAGCCAGGGCUCUUCCCAGCCAUUUCCGACUCCAGUUAUCAGCACGUUAUCGAUGCAUGUAUGUUUCUCAGAAAAUUUAUUUGUAAUGCGCUGAAGUGACUGUUGGAUUUGGGGUUAGACCAUCAUUUCGAAUUCCCUUCCGUGAGAGUAUCCCAUUUCCAUUUUCCUCCUGUGACGACUCACUUUAAGUGUACUUCCGUUUUCAUGUUGGUCGUGAACGAGAAACAAGAAAGAAGCCGAGCACUACAUAUCCCUUGCCCCUAAUUACAAUAGUGGAUCAAGUAUCCCCUCCAAUAUUGUCACUGUUCUGUUGUGGUGGAUGUUAGUGGGGAUGAAGACCAUCAUCGCAUCACUGAAAUCAAAGCAAAACUUUCAACACCGCAGAAUGUAUGUAUUGUUCUAACUAACAGCAAAUACUCCCCUAUUGUUUUUCUUUUUAAUGUUAUUUUGCAAGGGAAGAGAAGUCAUGCUUAUCCACUCCAUCAGGUUAUUUUUUUUUUCUUUUUUUCUUUUUAUUGAAUCCCCUCCACCAUGUUAGUCUUCAAAUACGAUACAUAAUACAUCUUCUCACAUCUUCUCAGUAAUCCCACAUUUAGUUUGUAUUAAUUUAUACAUCAAUUUGUAAGCAACUCAACUUGAUAUCUAUUUGAAAUAUUCACAUAUUACAAAAUUUUCCUGAUUCUAAUAAUAAAAGCCCUGCAUACAAUUUAAGACAAUUAAAAAAUUAUCAAAAUUGAAUAUCAAAAAUAAAAAACAAUGAUCAAAACUACUCUUUUAUUUUUAUAUUUUUAUUAGUAAUUGUAAUCAUAAUAAUUUAUAUUGUCACAGCUGGCAUGAACCAUUGCAGCAAUAAUUUCAUCACUAAAUCACAAUGUUUGUAUGCAAAUAAGUAUAAUAUUAAAGUUAAAAAGCAUCUCUUCAUUUGUACAAAUUAUAGUAUGAGGUGUAGUGACAUUCAAAGUUUUCAAAUGAAUACCUUGAUCACAUUAAAUAAUUAAAUAUUUUUUAAAAAAUAACUAAUAAUAUCAUAGUCACCUAUGAAGUAUAAAUACCCACUAUUUUUUUAUCAACAAUGUUAAAAUACAUAUGAAAUGGAUAAAACUAUAAGGAUUUUAUCAGUAGCACUAUAACUUGCUUGUUUAUACCAUGUUUGUAUCACAUUUUCUACUUUCCAUGGUUUUCCCUCAUAGACAAAAUAUAUAUAGAAGUAGUUAACAAAAAACAUGUCAUAUCACAUACAACUUGUCUUGGUCCAGAUGGAGCAUACACAACAUUUUACUCUCUGUUACUUGGUAUGAAUCAUAGUCACUCAAUAAAUAAGUUGCCUAAUACAAAAGGGAAAACAUUUGUCUGCAUGAUAAUCACUAAAUAUCACAAAACCACAAAAUAACAUUAAAAAGAAAACCUUAGAUGUUAGUUAGAACAAUACAUACAUUCUACGGUGGUGAAAAGCAGUGAUAAUGGUCUUAUCCCCACUAACAUCCACAUCCACCAACAGUGACAAUAUUGGAAGGGAUACUCAAGCCACUGCUACGACACAAAGGCCUAAGGCAGAACACUUUGCAAACAACAUACAACAUGUCAAAUAAAGAGGGUCAUUACUGCGAAACAAACAUCUAAGCAUAAACCUAUGUAGCCAAACAUGUCCCAUUUCAUGUGAGGGAAUGAGCACAAAAACAAAAUCAAAAUCAAAAUAAACAAACUAAGCCACCACAACAAAAAGAUAUAAGCAUAAACGUUUGGGAAAGACAUAAAAUAAACAAUGUAACCAAUGAUGCACAUCAGAGCUGAAGAUGGCAGCAAAACAAAAAUAUUGCACCAUAAAAGAUAACAAAUUACUAAAUCCCGAACUUUGGUACAGAAAACGUUAGGGUUUACUUAUUUCACCUUUUUUAUUUUCCUACAAAGAAAACCAAGCUUUACUGGUAACAAAUAACGAAAUCACAUUUUCUACUUUCCAUGAUUUUUGUGUGAUUUGUAAUCAUAAUCCUUCACUGACAAACUAUAAAAGUAGUUAACAAAAGACAUGUCAUAUCACAUACAACUUGUCUUGGUCCAUCUGGAGUAACAUGUUGAUUGACAUAUUCAUCAUUCAUAUUCUCUAGUGGUCAUUUGUUUUGCAGGGUCAUUAAAAUAGAAUAGUAGAUUGAGAUAAGGAAGGCUAAAAAAUAUCAUACACAGUGCAUUAUUAUUACUCUUUUUUUUGGAAGGCAUAAAAUAUAAUAUAUUAUUGAGAUAAUCAAAACAGUACAAGUGGUACUGAAUGAAAAGGAAAUACAAAGCACCACUGGUGCUGCCUCCCAAAAUAAAACCCAAACUAACCCAUCAAUAAAGACAUCUCCACAUAGGUUAACCAAAGGACUCCUUUAUAUUAGAGGACCAAUGGUUGAAGCUAGUGUUGAAGCCUUUCUCUCUAGCUUUUAGCCAAGACCAAGCUAAAAACAUAGCCUCUUCCAUGACUUUAGAGGAAUCAAAUUGAUUGACAUAUUCAUCAUUCAUAUUCUCUAGUGGUCAUUUGUUUUGCAGGGUCAUUAAAAUAGAAUAGUAGAUUGAGAUAAGGAAGGCUAAAAAAUAUCAUACACAGUGCAUUAUUAUUACUCUUUGUUUUUUUUUUUUCGGAAGGCAUAAAAUAUAAUAUAUUAUUGAGAUAAUCAAAACAGUACAAGUGGUACUGAAUGAAAAGGAAAUACAAAGCACCACUGGUGCUGCCUCCCAAAAUAAAACCCAAACUAACCCAUCAAUAAAGACAUCUCCACAUAGGUUAACCAAAGGACUCCUUUAUAUUAGAGGACCAAUGGUUGAAGCUAGUGUUGAAGCCUUUCUCUCUAGCUUUUAGCCAAGACCAAGCUAAAAACAUAGCCUCUUCCAUGACUUUAGAGGAAUCAAAUUGAUUGACAUAUUCAUCAUUCAUAUUCUCUAGUGGUCAUUUGUUUUGCAGGGUCAUUAAAAUAGAAUAGUAGAUUGAGAUAAGGAAGGCUAAAAAAUAUCAUACACAGUGCAUUAUUAUUACUCUUUGUUUUUUUUUUUUCGGAAGGCAUAAAAUAUAAUAUAUUAUUGAGAUAAUCAAAACAGUACAAGUGGUACUGAAUGAAAAGGAAAUACAAAGCACCACUGGUGCUGCCUCCCAAAAUAAAACCCAAACUAACCCAUCAAUAAAGACAUCUCCACAUAGGUUAACCAAAGGACUCCUUUAUAUUAGAGGACCAAUGGUUGAAGCUAGUGUUGAAGCCUUUCUCUCUAGCUUUUAGCCAAGACCAAGCUAAAAACAUAGCCUCUUCCAUGACUUUAGAGGAAUCAAAUUGUUUUCCUUGAAAGAUGAGGGUAUUCCUAUGUUACCAUAUAGUACUAGUUAGAGCCACCCACCACCCACACCAUCUGCUAUGGUUUAUAUUAGCUCCAAAUCCUUCACAAAAUUGUGCUAAAUGACUUGCUGGGGAAACUGGAAGAGGUCCUACAGCCUGGAUCCAUGUCAUGGAUUCCCACCACAGGGGCAUUGUCCUUUUGCAAUUAAAAAAUAGGUGACCCACUUCCUCUUGCACUUGACCACAGAGAGGGCAGCCAUCAUCUUGGAUAAUCACAUUUCUUCUUAAUAGAUUACCCUUAGUAGGUAAUCUGUCCUUGAGGAGCCUCCAAGUGAAGACUGCUGUCCUUGGGGGGAUUUUCAUCUUCCAUAUUAAUUUGAAAUUUCUGACAUCUGAGGCUGAGGCAUUGGUGUUUAGCAUUAUUCUAUAAUCUGACUUGGUGGAAUACACACCACUAGGUUCAGUUUUCCACAUCAUAUUGUCCUUCACAUAUCUCUGAAUAGAGAUAGAAGUAAUAUCCUCCAUAAAAUUCACUGUCAAAUCAUUUUCGUGGUCAAAUAAAUUCCUCCUCCAUUUGAAAUCCUAUUUUCAUCUAUCUUCAGAGAAGGUCCCCAUCUUUGUAAUGGUGUUGUGUUGUUGUCUACUGAUCAUAAAAAGUGAAUUAUACUUCUGUUGUAGAGUGCAGUCUUCCCCUAACCAUUUGUCUGUCCAGAAAUGAAUUCUAUCACCCCCACCAACCUUCCAAGCCAGGUUUUGUUGAAAGAUGUUUUGACCAGAGUGAUGAUAAAUCUUCCUCAAGUCCCUCCACCAGUGUGAGCAUCCCCUUUUAUCUCUGCCCGACUGAAACUCUUCCCAACCUCCAUAUUUGGAGUUAAUGAUUCUAGCCCAUAACUGUUGCUGGUCAGAAGCUAAGGCCCAUAUCCAUGAAUCAUAGUCACUCAAUGAAUCAUACUCUUUGUUAUUGGGUAUGAAUCAUAGUCACUCAAUGAAUAAGUUGUCUAAUACAAAAGGAAAAAAUAUUUGUCCGCAUAAUAAUCACUAAAUAUCACAAACUACAAAAUAACAUUAAAAAGAAAACCAACAUGGAAGUAUUUUGCUGUUAGUUAGAAUAAUACAUACAUUAUGCGGUGGUGAAAGUUUUGCUUUGAUUGCAGUGAUGAUGGGAUGAUGGUCUCCAUCCCCGUUAACAUCCACCACAACAGAACAAUGACAAUAUUUCAAGUUCACCCCUUACUGACCUCUCAUUUCGAUGUUCAGGGGCUGAAUAUUUGGCGUGCUGGGACUAUAAUCAACAUAUCCACAAUUUCGCAUAUAGCAAGCUUCAAUGAAAACCAUUCAUAUGUAGUUUCAAUAUAAUAAUAUGAGCGGGCAUAUUUUCUCGGUGAAAAAA